CUCACAAUGAGGCUUCUGGAGUUUGAUUGACACAUAAAUAUGGCCACAUUGAGUUCUUGUAGUGGAUGUUGGUAACAGUUGAUCCAUUGUAAGAGUAGGAUGCGUAUUUAGAUAGAAUCUAUCGACCUUGAUAGAGAGAAGAAGUUCUAUGAGAUUUAAGAGGCUAAGUUCGUGAGUCUAUGGCCAUAGUAGUGUGAUUGAUGAAAAUUUUUUUUAUAAAAAUUAUAAUUGGACUCGAGCUAAUCAAAUCUAUCAUAUGAUUGAUGAUAAGAUUUGAUGAUUUAUUCAUGACCUACCAUCUAGUCAGAACUCAUGAUAGAGGGAUUAAAUCACAUGAGAACUACACCUUGAGGUUCUUUUUCUGUUCUGCUAGGUUGUCAUUAUAUACUGCUAGAUAUCAUUGAUGGAUUGUGAGAGCUCACUAGGAUUAUGUAGGAUCGAUAAUCCUUAUUGAGUUAGAGUAGAAUCAUUCUGAUUCAUUAAAAAGAGUUUCAAUGAUGCUAUGAUAG
rnacentral:lncRNA from 1 species